CCAGGAGCAGCAGGGAGGAGGAGGAGGAGAACGGGAGAGAGAGGACAGGACCAGGAUCCAAAGGCGUAAAUGCAGCGAUGGGUCCCUGUUCAGCUCCCAGGGCUGUUGUCAGAGGACAGGCACUGCUGGGACACCCACCUUCUCCAGCCUCCUUUCUCAGCCUGGUCCCAGAGCUGGAGACAUUAACUGAAACUGAAAGGUUUUCAGAACAAAGACAAAGAGGUGUUUCUCAUUCUGUGCAUGACAAUGGACUCCUUGAACAACAAAGCCCAGAUGGCAGAGAGAAGAUUUCUGGGAAGUACCUCUGAUGCUCAGCCUGUUC
ensembl:lncRNA